AGCGAACGCUGGCGGCAGGCUUAACACAUGCAAGUCGAGCGGGCAUCUUCGGAUGUCAGCGGCAGACGGGUGAGUAACACGUGGGAACGUACCCUUCGGUUCGGAACAACUCUGGGAAACUGGAGCUAAUACCGGAUACGCCCUUAUGGGGAAAGGUUUACUGCCGAAGGAUCGGCCCGCGUCUGAUUAGCUAGUUGGUGGGGUGACGGCCUACCAAGGCGACGAUCAGUAGCUGGUCUGAGAGGAUGAUCAGCCACACUGGGACUGAGACACGGCCCAGACUCCUACGGGAGGCAGCAGUGGGGAAUAUUGGACAAUGGGCGCAAGCCUGAUCCAGCCAUGCCGCGUGAGUGAUGAAGGCCUUAGGGUUGUAAAGCUCUUUUGUCCGGGACGAUAAUGACGGUACCGGAAGAAUAAGCCCCGGCUAACUUCGUG
rnacentral:rRNA from 1 species